UACGGAGGGUGCAAGCGUUAAUCGGAAUUACUGGGCGUAAAGCGCACGUAGGUGGUUUGUUAAGCUAGCUGUGAAAUCCCCGGGCUCAACCUGGGCACUGCAGUUAGAACUGGCAAGCUAGAGUAGGGUAGAGGGGUGUGGAAUUCCAGGUGUAGCGGUGAAAUGCGUAGAUAUCUGGAGGAACAUCAGUGGCGAAGGCGACACCCUGGACUCAUACUGACACUGAGGCGCGAAAGCGUGGGGAGCAAACAGG
rnacentral:rRNA from 1 species